rnacentral:rRNA from 1 species
UUAACACAAGUUGAGUAGGGAAAGUUUUUCGGUGUAGGAUGAGACUAUAUAGUAUCAGCUAGUUGGUAAGGUAAUGGCUUACCAAGGCUAUGACGCUUAACUGGUCUGAGAGGAUGAUCAGUCACACUGGAACUGAGACACGGUCCAGACUCCUACGGGAGGCAGCAGUAGGGAAUAUUGCGCAAUGGGGGAAACCCUGACGCAGCAACGCCGCGUGGAGGAUGACACUUUUCGGAGCGUAAACUCCUUUUCUUAGGGAAGAAUUCUGACGGUACCUAAGGAAUAAGCACCGGCUAACUCCGUGCCAGCAGCCGCGGUAAUACGGAGGGUGCAAGCGUUACUCGGAAUCACUGGGCGUAAAGGGCGCGUAGGCGGAUUAUCAAGUCUCUUGUGAAAUCUAAUGGCUUAACCAUUAAACUGCUUGGGAAACUGAUAGUCUAGAGUGAGGGAGAGGCAGAUGGAAUUGGUGGUGUAGGGGUAAAAUCCGUAGAUAUCACCAAGAAUACCCAUUGCGAAGGCGAUCUGCUGGAACUCAACUGACGCUAAGGCGCGAAAGCGUGGGGAGCAAACAGGAUUAGAUACCCUGGUAGUCCACGCCCUAAACGAUGUACACUAGUUGUUGGGAUGCUAGUCAUCUCAGUAAUGCAGCUAACGCAUUAAGUGUACCGCCUGGGGAGUACGGUCGCAAGAUUAAAACUCAAAGGAAUAGACGGGGACCCGCACAAGCGGUGGAGCAUGUGGUUUAAUUCGAAGAUACGCGAAGAACCUUACCUGGGCUUGAUAUCCUAAGAACCUUAUAGAGAUAUGAGGGUGCUAGCUUGCUAGAACUUAGAGACAGGUGCUGCACGGCUGUCGUCAGCUCGUGUCGUGAGAUGUUGGGUUAAGUCCCGCAACGAGCGCAACCCACGUAUUUAGUUGCUAACGGUUCGGCCGAGCACUCUAAAUAGACUGCCUUCGUAAGGAGGAGGAAGGUGUGGACGACGUCAAGUCAUCAUGGCCCUUAUGCCCAGGGCGACACACGUGCUACAAUGGCAUAUACAAUGAGACGCAAUACCGCGAGGUGGAGCAAAUCUAUAAAAUAUGUCCCAGUUCGGAUUGUUCUCUGCAACUCGAGAGCAUGAAGCCGGAAUCGCUAGUAAUCGUAGAUCAGCCAUGCUACGGUGAAUACGUUCCCGGGUCUUGUACUCACCGCCCGUCACACCAUGGGAGUUGAUUUCACUCGAAGCCGGAAUACUAAACUAGUUACCGUCCACAGUGGAAUCAGCGACUGGGGUGAAGUCGUAACAAGGUAACCGUAGGAGAACCUGCGGUUGGAUCACCUCCUUUCUA